AGAUUGAAGAGCUGUGGUUUGUCAGAUAUUGGCCUUGAUUAUCUGGCAGCAGCACUGAAGUCCAACCCCUCGUAUCCCACAGAGGUGGACCUGAGUGGAACCUACAGCAACCUGAAGGUUCAGGAGUGAAGCAUCUGUGUGGUUUUCGGGAGAAUCCACGAUGUCGAUUUGAAACUCUGAGAUUGGAGCGCUGUGAUUUGUCAGAGAUCAGCUGUGAUUAUCUGGAAGCAGUGCUGAAGCUCAACCCUUCGUAUCCCAGAGAGGUGGAGCUGAGCGACCACAAGCUUCAGGAUUCAGGAGUGAAGCAGCUGUGUGUUCUUCUGGAGAAUCCACAACAUCAAAUUGAAACUCUGAGAUUGUGGAGCUGUGGUUUGUCAGAGAUCAGCUGUGAUUAU